AAUUACUUAUGUAUAUAUUUCCUUGACCAGGCUAAAAUCAAACAAACUCAGCGGGCUUUUUUUAUUGCGCUAACACAAUAAAGAAAUGGUUGCAUCUCUCAAUUCUCAACAGAAAACGUCUUAUUUCCUGCGGUGCAGGGAUGUUGGGUCAAAAUCAGUAGGUAUUCCUUCCUGUCUUCGCAUGAAGCUUCAUCUCCUUCAUUGCUGCGAAUGUUGUCUGCAAACCAUUUCGGUCACCCAGAUAUUAGUGGCUCAUCAGGUACAGCCUGAGGGCAGGCAGUUGGCUGGACAAGCGUGCCACAGUAAUAGAUUGCCGUUAAACUUACCUCUACCAGUAUGGCGAAGAUACGCACUAGAGUUGCAAGAUGGCAAUCGAAUUUAAUGGUUAUUGAAG